UACGUAGGAGGCAAGCGUUAUCCGGAAUGACUGGGCGUAAAGGGUGCGUAGGUGGUCUGGCAAGUUGGCAGCGUAAUCCCGGGGCUCAACUCCGGUGCUACUGCCAAAACUGUUGGACUUGAGUGCAGGAGGGGUGAAUGGAAUUCCUAGUGUAGCGGUGGAAUGCGUAGAUAUUAGGAAGAACACCAGCGGCGAAGGCGAUUCACUGGACUGUAACUGACACUGAGGCACGAAAGCGUGGGGAGCAAACAGG
rnacentral:rRNA from 1 species